rnacentral:rRNA from 1 species
AGUGAACGCUGGCGGUGGGCCUAACACAUGCAAGUCGAACGGCAGCACAGUAAGAGCUUGCUCUUACGGGUGGCGAGUGGCGGACGGGUGAGGAAUACAUCGGAAUCUACUUUUUCGUGGGGGAUAACGUAGGGAAACUUACGCUAAUACCGCAUACGACCUACGGGUGAAAGCAGGGGAUCUUCGGACCUUGCGCGAUUGAAUGAGCCGAUGUCGGAUUAGCUAGUUGGCGGGGUAAAGGCCCACCAAGGCGACGAUCCGUAGCCGGUCUGAGAGGAUGAUCAGCCACACUGGAACUGAGACACGGUCCAGACUCCUACGGGAGGCAGCAGUGGGGAAUAUUGGACAAUGGGCGCAAGCCUGAUCCAGCCAUACCGCGUGGGUGAAGAAGGCCUUCGGGUUGUAAAGCCCUUUUGUUGGGAAAGAAAAGCAGCAGGUUAAUACCCCGCUGUUCUGACGGUACCCAAAGAAUAAGCACCGGCUAACUUCGUG